GAUAUGGCUCAGGAUGAACGCUGGCGGCGUGCCUAACACAUGCAAGUCGAACGGAAACCAGACGCUUCGGAGACUUCGGUCAAUGUUGUUGGUUUAGUGGCGGACGGGUGAGUAACGCGUGGAUAACCUGCCAUAUACAGGGGGAUAACAGUUAGAAAUGACUGCUAAUACCGCAUAAGCGCACAGUCUCGCAUGGGACAGUGUGAAAAAACUCCGGUGGUAUAUGAUGGAUCCGCGUCUGAUUAGCCAGUUGGCGGGGUAACGGCCCACCAAAGCGACGAUCAGUAGCCGGCCUGAGGGGGUGAACGGCCACAUUGGGACUGAGACACGGCCCAAACUCCUACGGGAGGCAGCAGUGGGGGAUAUUGCACAAUGGGGGAAACCCUGAUGCAGCCGACGCCGCGUGAGUGAAGAAGUAUUUCGGUAUGUAAAGCUCUAUCAGCAGGGAAGAUAAUGACGGUACCUGACUAAGAAGCACCGGCUAAAUACGUGCCAGCCGCCGC
rnacentral:rRNA from 1 species